rnacentral:rRNA from 1 species
AGUGAACGCUGGCGGCAGGCCUAACACAUGCAAGUCGAGCGGCAGCGCGGGGGCAACCCUGGCGGCGAGCGGCGGACGGGUGAGGAAUUCGUCGGAAUCUGCCUUUUUGUGGGGGAUAACGUAGGGAAACUUACGCUAAUACCGCAUACGUCCUACGGGAGAAAGUGGGGGACCGCAAGGCCUCACGCAGAAAGAUGAGCCGACGACCGAUUAGCUAGUUGGUGGGGUAAAGGCCCACCAAGGCGACGAUCGGUAGCUGGUCUGAGAGGAUGAUCAGCCACACUGGGACUGAGACACGGCCCAGACUCCUACGGGAGGCAGCAGUGGGGAAUAUUGGACAAUGGGCGCAAGCCUGAUCCAGCCAUGCCGCGUGUGUGAAGAAGGCCUUCGGGUUGUAAAGCACUUUUGUCCGGAAAGAAAUCCCUGGAGCUAAUACCUUCGGGGGAUGACGGUACCGGAAGAAUAAGCACCGGCUAACUUCGG